UAAAGUUUUUUUAAGAUAUUUUAAAAAAUAAUUUUUUAAAUAUUCAAUAUUUUUUUAUCCUUAAAUAUAUAAUAUUAAAUAUACUAAUAUUAAUUUAUAUAAAAAUCUAUAAAUAAAAUCAGUAACCUUAAUAUAAAGUAGUUAAUAUAAAAAUUAUUUAAUAUAUUUUAAAAUAUUUUUUAUUUUUUAAAAUAAUUAAAUUUUACUAAUUUUUA
rnacentral:tRNA from 1 species